rnacentral:lncRNA from 1 species
UAAAAGAAAAUAAUUAAUUAACAAUAAUGUAUUCAAAGUAACAUUGACGCUCAUUCCAAUACUUGAAUUCCCAGUACAGUACAAACAACUUGAAUCAAACACAUAGUUACUUCAACAUUCAAUUACAUAAACUUUCCCUUGAAAGUUCCAAAACAAUCAUCGUCGGUCAUAGUUUUAACUUUAGUGUUCAUGUUUUCCUCAAGUCGAGGAUUCCUUUGAAUUAGUUGCUCUCACAUUCCUCUAAACUCUUCUUCCAACAACUGAAAUUGAAAAAAAAAAAGAACCAUUGCUAAACUGAUUUAGGAAAACUACUAAGUAGCAAAAAGAACAAUGCGAUUGAACCUCAUAUAAUAUCUUGAAGAAAUACAGGAAUCAUGCGACUACUACUAUCUGCAAGAAAAUAUAAAACCACAUUCAAUAGUAGAAGCUUAAGAGAACUAAAUCAAUUUGGCAUCAUUAGCUUAUGGAAAAGAUCAUUCCACUAAUAGAGAUAGAGUUAUAUACAACUGUAGGAAGUGUUUCACAAAUGAUGUACCCUUCUCAGCCAGCCGUUAGGUGAAUAUCUUUUGCAAUCUUUUCCUAAUUACCAUAUUUUAUUUUCCCGAGAAUGGUGGAUAAUACUUUCUAUAAGCAAAAUCAAAGAGAAAUAACAUAAAAAAAAUAUUAUUCUCCAGUCUUAAGGUAUCAUAUGUAGAAAGAAACGAUAUCAAGAUCACCUUGACAAAAUGGAAUUUUUAAUCAACUUAAGACAAAUAAUAAUAAUUUUGCAGAAAGCUCAAGAUAUUUGAACCCGAAACUCCUAACAGUGCAUAAAAGGAACUAGCAAUCACUAGUAUCAUUGUACAGGCUUACUAAUUCCUUCUCUACUCUUGAAUUCAACAGAAUGAUUGAUCAAUUUCAGUCCUAACAUCAAUGUCAAUGUUCCUUAUCCAACAUAAAUUGUCAAUCAAGCUGAUAUUCAUAAGAUACCCUACACCAUCCACAAUCUAAAUCAUGAAACACAUAAUCGUAAUGGUCAUUUACCUUCCCUUCAUAAAUAAGUAUCUUCAAGCUUAUUUUUCAUUCAACCAUCACAAACAAGAUUCUUUUUCAAUUUAAUUUACCGUGCUGUUUGGAUUAGAGUCGCCAUCAAGCACAACCACAAUAUUUCUAACACAAGACAAGUUACUAUAUAAUAUCCUUCUGUUGGAACUAACAUCAAAUGAUUCAGCAGCGAAUAAGGUUCAACACGUUAAAGAAGUUUUAACAUGUCAAAAAUACCAAGAUCAAGAUUAAACUAGUAAUCCAUAUCUUAUCAGACAUUUCAGAUCAAUUUAAUAUUCAGUUGUUUUCUCUUUUAUAGGGAAACAAUAGAGAGUGCCAUUUCAUUCGCUCAAUAUAGAAUAGUUUGUCAGUAACAAAUACUAAUCAAACAAACUAUCUAGUUGAAGCAAAGAUAGUCCUAUAAUUUAAUUCAUUACCUUUUGCGUCAUUUGAUGAAUAUCGUAUGUACUAGUAAAUAGAUUCAAGGUUCUAUAGCAGUAAGAACGAUUGAACAACCAAAUAAUGUUAAUAAUCUCAUCACUACCAUUAUAAAAUCAGUUCAACAUAAAAAGAUGAAUCAAAGAAAGUAUAAACUUUAACCUCAUGUUAAUAAAACAAAGUCAGUCCAUUAAAUUUUAUUUAAUCCUCUAAGGCAUUUGCUCAAACAGUUGAUAUGAACAGAAUACGACAAAAGGUACACAUAGUUAACCAGAAAUUCAAUCCAGUGAACAAAUUAGAACAGAAAAAUACUUACCAAAAUCUUAAUAUCUUCAACCAGAUGUAGAGAAUAGAUUAAAUAUGGCAGUUGAUUGUGUGUAAAAGGCGGCCUAAAUUUUGGUAACCUUCUGUCGUGUUUAGAAUUCUAGGACAAUCUAACACCCAUGUAGUUUUCCCUUUCAAUUCUCUGCACCAUAUGGCGACCUCGGCGGUUUAGUGAACAUAAAACGGGGGACGCCUAAUUGGAGUUGAGGAAAUGGGAGAGAUUGGUAGGGUUCUUAGAGAAGACAGCCUUCGUAAUAGUGUUUUGUUUUGGAUUAAACAUUAUAAAGUUAGAAAAUUUCCUUCAUUAGUGAUAAAUGUCAGUAAAUAUUGAC